AAUCAACAGGGAGACGAGGUCCUUGGAUGUGGGGUGGCGAGGGGGCCGAAACGACAGGGACAGAGGUCGAGAGGGGCUUUUCCCGCCCCUGCCUUUCUUCCAAUAGCCUCAUCCCAGGGGGCAAAUGAGUGCCUCUGGAGUGUAACGGCCCUGCCUGAGGGGACAAAUCCCAGAGCCAUCUCCCCUAGUCAAGGGGCUCACAUCUACUCCCAGCCCCUGCCCUUCCUCCCGGAAGGCAAGGAGGCGCGCAUUGCAGCACCGAAUCCCGGGCAGGGGCUGGAUUCCGAGCCCUCCAGUAUUUGGACUCCAUUCUAUUUCCGAGUCCCCGCCCGGGUCAGGAGAAACAAAACGAAACAAAACACGUCUUCUUUGGAAGCAUGGCCAAGUGUCCCCUGCGCCCCCAAGGCCCAGAACGCAAGUGCAGCGCACUGCACCGACGGCUUCCCGGGCAGUACCUCCCAGGCGGCGCCGCUCGCUGGGGCCCUGGCCGAGGCUGAGCGCGGGGGACCCGGGGCAGAGCUGCGGAGAGGGGGCGCCCAGGGGCUUCGCGGUCCUCCAAGGACGCAGCAGGGCCAGGGCCCCUUCCCGGCUCAGACCCCUCGAGGCGCCUGCCCUCGGCCGCACUGGGGUGAAAGAAACGCUGUGCAGCCCUCGCCUCCCUGCUGGCGCUCGAGGAGCGGGCGGCGCUGCCCUGCAGGACAGCCGCGUCCCCCGGGUCGGACGGCGUGGGGGUGGCCGGCGUGCGAAGGGGCCGGCCUCCGAGGGUGCCGGUCUGUCCCAGCCUGGAGUCGCGGGAGGGCCCGAGAGAUAUGCCUCCAGCCCCCAGCCUCGCCCUUGGAAGAACCGGAGGCGAGGUAUCCCCCGCCCGGCCCGCGGAUGCCCCGCUGCCGCUGCGCCCGGGCGCGCGUGGACAGUAGGAGCCGGCAGGCGCCCGCAGCAGCAGCAGCAGCGGCGGCGGCAGCGGUAGAUUCCGCUUCCCCAAAGUGGCCCUCAGCGGCGAGGGAGCUCAGCGCUGCUCCCCCGCCCGCCUCAGCCCGGGCUGGGGAGGGCAGGGGGGAGGGGACGUCCCUCAGCGUGCAGAGGGCUGACGGGUUUGGCACGGACCAUCACCUCACGGAGGAGCCCGUCCCAGCCCGCUCUGUCUAG
rnacentral:lncRNA from 1 species